UGGGGAAUUGUUCACAAUGGGCGCAAGCCUGAUGACGCAACGCCGCGUGGAGGAUGAAGGUCUUCGGAUUGUAAACUCCUGUUGCUCGGGACGAAAAGCCUCGACCUAACACGUCGAGGUCUGACGGUACCGAGUGAGGAAGCCCCGGCUAACUCUGUGCCAGCAGCCGCGGUAAUACAGAGGGGGCAAGCGUUGUUCGGAAUUACUGGGCGUAAAGGGCGCGUAGGCGGCCCGCUAAGUCGAACGUGAAAUCCCCGAGCUCAACUCGGGAACUGCGUCCGAUACUGGCGGGCUUGAAUCCGGGAGAGGGAUGCGGAAUUCCAGGUGUAGCGGUGAAAUGCGUAGAUAUCUGGAGGAACACCGGUGGCGAAGGCGGCAUCCUGGACCGGCAUUGACGCUGAGGCGCGAAAGCUAGGGGAGCAAAC
rnacentral:rRNA from 1 species